rnacentral:rRNA from 1 species
CAUCGCGCUAUACAUGCAGUCGAGCGGACGAUUCAAAAGCUUGCUUUUGGAUCGUUAGCGGCGGACGGGUGAGUAACACGUGGGCAACCUGCCCUGUAGACGGGGAUAACACCGAGAAAUCGGUGCUAAUACCGGAUAAUACGAAAGACCGCAUGGUUUUUCGUUGAAAGGCGGCGCAAGCUGUCGCUACAGGAUGGGCCCGCGGCGCAUUAGCUAGUUGGUGAGGUAACGGCUCACCAAGGCGACAAUGCGUAGCCGACCUGAGAGGGUGAUCGGCCACACUGGGACUGAGACACGGCCCAGACUCCUACGGGAGGCAGCAGUAGGGAAUCUUCCGCAAUGGACGAAAGUCUGACGGAGCAACGCCGCGUGAGCGAAGAAGGCCUUCGGGUCGUAAAGCUCUGUUGUUAGGGAAGAACAAGUACCGCAGUCACUGGCGGUACCUUGACGGUACCUAACGAGGAAGCCACGGCUAACUACGUGCCAGCAGCCGCGGUAAUACGUAGGUGGCAAGCGUUGUCCGGAAUUAUUGGGCGUAAAGCGCGCGCAGGCGGUUCCUUAAGUCUGAUGUGAAAGCCCACGGCUCAACCGUGGAGGGUCAUUGGAAACUGGGGGACUUGAGUGCAGAAGAGGAGAGCGGAAUUCCACGUGUAGCGGGUGAAAUGCGUAGAGAUGUGGAGGAACACCAGUGGCGAAGGCGGCUCUCUGGUCUGUAACUGACGCUGAGGCGCGAAAGCGUGGGGAGCAAACAGGAUUAGAUACCCUGGUAGUCCACGCCGUAACGAUGAGUGCUAGUGUAGAGGGUAUCCACCCUUAGUGCUGUAGCUAACGCAUUUAAGCACUCGCCUGGGGGAGUACGCUCGCAGAGUUGCAUACUCAUAGGUAACUUGACCGGGGGUCCCGUGCAAGCUGUGCAGCCAUGUGUUGAU